CUUUUACUUAGAGGUUUUUUGACUGUUUAGUCAUUCAUCUCUAGAAAUUCAAAGGGUUGUGUGUGUGUUCUCCUUGGCCACAUCGGUAAUGGUUGUUGGGUUUGGUUUUUGUUUUUUUGUUUUUCCAUUUGCACAAGGUCACUUUCAGAGUUCUUCCUCCCUUAGGAGAGAUUGCACAUUCGUCACUCAGUAUGCCUUCCAUUUCUUCCAGUUGGGAUCACACAGCCCUUCCUGAGGUAUUACCAUUUUUCCAUUUCUUCUUUGCUCCCUCCUUUUCUUUUAAUAACUCUGGGAGACAGGGAGGCACCUUGUAAAGUUAAUUUCCUCUGAAGCUUUCAAAGCAAAGGCAUCUCUUAGCCCAGACACCACCACCCCUCUCCACCCCUCAAGAUGACACACACCCCUCCUUGCAGCCUUAGUCACUCUGGGCUGUGCCCGCCACCUAGGACUCACCAGCUCAGCUGUCUCAUGAGCACAGUGAAUUGCUCUGUCCAGUUGUUCUUUAGUCUGAGGGUGGAGACCUUAGAUGGGAAGAAUCUCCUCAUUUAUCUGCUUGGUCCCUUCCUCCCCCUUUUCACUUCCCAACUUGCUCCCCUUGCCCCUUCACUGCUUCUGGUGCUUUCAGGACUGGCUGCCUGCCUGUACCAAGGAUGGCAUUUCCUCUUCAAAGGCCUGUGGCUGCAGCCACCCAGCUCCUCCUAAGCACACAGAACUUUGGAAUUGCUGUGGCUUUGCUGCCUGCCUACUUGGAAAGCAAGUGUAGUUUUUUAAACACCCUUUUGGUUUCUUGGGGCAAAGCUUUUCUCAAUCCUAUUUUAUUUAUGCGAACAUGAUCUGUGGCUUUUGAAUGUUUGCUUUUGAAUGUUUGUGUUAAUGGACUAAGCUGAAAGCGUUUCCUCUUACCGGAGAGAGGGCCCAGCACAGCUGGGGGCCAGGCUGCUCAGCUCAGGCAAAAGCUGAUCCAAGAGGAACAAGUUGCCAGCCAAGGAAGUCUGGAGGCUCAGAGAGGAAUUCAUUAAGGCUUUCAUGGGCAGCAGCAGUCAGAGCUAGGAUCACAGACUGGGCCAUGAAGCUCAGUAGUUCUUUUGAUUAAUAGGAAGACUAAACAGGAGAUAACUAGAUUUUUGCAAAUAUACUUUUUAUACUGUGCAUAUAUUUACCAAAACUCUGUAGUUUUUAGCAGCUUGUCUGAUCUUUUCCCUAUAUUCCUGAUCUUCUAAAGCACUCCUGCUAUAUUAAGUCCUCCAAGGCUUGGUUGAUCCCUGACACAUUUGUAAGUAACCUGUCAUCCAAAAGUGGCUGAGUUCUGGAUAGCCUAUUGUGCUUUUGGUGUAUUUACUUCCUCAUCUGCUAUCUUCCUGAUACUUAAGGGUACUUCAGAUGGAAACAAAGACUCAGAACAUCCACUAGAUGCACUGUCUUUUUCCAUGUCCAGUGACUGGAUAACCUAGAUAUAGGUAAGGAAAGGAGGCAGCAGAGGGGCAAGUGGAAGCAAAGAAGACUGUGACAGGAAUAGGGUUCUCAGAUCUGUCAUGAGGAUCCCUAAACAGAGUUGAAGGGAUUCAGUCAGAGAUGGGCUGUCUUUAAGAAUGAAUCCUACUAUUCCCACCCCAGCACCCUUAGCCUUGAAGUCUUUGAUCCAGUGGUCCUGGAAAACUAAGUUCUUGAACCAAAAGUGGGGGAUGAACCUGGACAGUUUGUUUGAGGAUGUGGGCAUGUUGAAGAUCAGAUCAUCUCUGUAAACAAGGUAGGACUAGGCAGAGCUAGUUAGGAGUCUCUGUAAGCUGGAUCAAUUGAAGAGUCCAUCAAUAAUGUUGCCUCAAUUGUUAAUCCUAAUGGAAGGGUGGUUGUUGAGGUCCAUAGAAAAUUGUUGGAGAGGAGAAUUGAUAUAGGACUAUAUGGAAUAGAGAAGUUUAUAAGUUUAGGUUGGUUGGUUAGUUUGUGGGGUUUUGUUUUGUUGCUUUUAGUUUUUUGGAUGCUAGGGAUCAAACCCAGGGCCUUGUGUAUGCUAAUGUGCACUUGACUACGGAGUUAUAGCCCCAGCCCCAAAGUUAUAAUUUUUGAGGCAAAGUAUUCCAGAGUUCCUUCAUUUAAACUAUGUGAAUUUAAUGAUGGCUACUAUCUCUGUUUGAUCUAUACUCCCUCCUUGGGCAAUGUCUUCUAACUCCUUGACUUUAUGACUACUGGCAACUCCAUAUUCUAGGUCUUUCUCCUGAGCUUCAGAUUAAGACAUCCUGCUACUUAUUCAGCGUGAAAGUCACAUGUGUGCACAGUGUAACCAGAAGAUACUUCAUCGUUUUUCUACUUGCCCUUUAACCAGUACUCCUGGGUUACCCAUGGUAAUCACCAUUCAUCUGGUUGCCCAUGCCAAAAAUAUCAGCCUCAUCCUCUUUCCCAAACUAUUGUGGCUUUCCUGGUCAUUCUUCUGUGUGUGUGUGUGUGUGUGUGUGUGUGUGUGUGUGUGUGUAUUUUAGUUGUGUAUGGACACGAUACCUUUAUUUUAUAUAUUUAAUUUUAAUGUGGUACCAAGAAUCAAACCCAGUGCCUCACAAGUGCUAGGCAAGUCCUCUACCACUGAGCUACAACCCCAGCCCUGUCCACAUCUCUUUAUCUUUUAGUCAAUAAACUAGUCCAGGCUACCAUCUUUUCUCAUCUAGUAUUGGGACUCAGAAAACAAUACCCCAAAGACUGGCACUUUCUCAUGUUGAAAGGCCCUGAAAUCUAUUUCAGAAUCAAGGUCCCUCAUCUUCCUUUCUUUUUCCCCCCUCCAAAAAUAAGAGGAAGAGGCUUUCUAUAAAGUUCCCUUUAUCUAGUGGAUCAGGAUCCACCAAAAGAGAAACACAUUCCCUUCAGUCUUUUUACUGAAAUUUCAUUAACCAGAGAACACUAGACUCAUACCACAGCAAGAAAGACUAAAUGUCAACACACCUUGACAGACCUGUGUCACAUAUCGUUGUGUUCUUUUUUGAUACCAUUUAGUACUCUAAAGAGAAUCAUUUACAAACCAUUUAUUCUAUAGUCCAAAAAAGCCUUUAUGCCAGACCAUUGUAUGUUCUCCAAGCCCAUUGAGUUCUCUUGAAAGUCAUUUUUUGUUCCCCUGAAACUUGUCUACGUCCUCAUCCUUACCCUCUCUCCCUAUAAUAAAGAUACAGGGGCUGAGGCUGUAACUCAGUGGUAAAGUGCUUUCCUCGCAUGUGUGAGGCUCUGGGUUCAAUCAGCACCACAUAAAAACAAAUAAAGAUACUGUGUGUUCAUCUACAACUAAAAAAUAUUUCUUAAAAAAGAUACAUACAUUUCUGAAUAAUGUUGAACUAGUUGGUAAUCACAUUCCUGUGACUUUCCCCUGUGCUGUGAUUUUUCUCCAUUCGCACAUUAACAAAUUUGUCUGCCUUUUCUCCUAUUUAAUAUAUUUAUUGUCAGUCUAUUUCAGUGAACCUUCAGAGAGCAGAUCGAAAUUUCCAUUCACCCCUACACUGGAUAUUCCAUUGGUCCUGUAAGCUGGUCUCUUGACCUCUGUUCUUAUCCCCUUGAAACCCAUUCUUUAUAUACCAGUUUAAAUAAUGUGUAUAAAAUUUAAUCUGAUUAUGUUUCUUGUCUGCCCAGAACCUUUGAGUAGCUUUCUGUUCUUUUCAGAUAAGAUCUAAAAUCCAAACUAUACCCUACUUAUUCCUUCCAGCCUAAUCUCACCAGGGCAGAGACCUUGUCUUUCAACUUCACUGGUGUUCCCUCAGCACCUAGAACAAUGUCUAGUACAGGGUUGCUCUCCAUAGUUGAUUGUGUGGAUGGAUGGACUCAUGGAGGAAUGAAUGAAUACACAGGACUUCUGUGCAUUCAAGGAUAAUAGAAUGGGGAAUGAGUGAAAGUCAUUAUGAAAACUUCUCAGGGUAGUUGUUGUUCAUACAUAGAUAUUUUGAUCCUAGGGCUGGCAUAGUGCAACAUACUUAAGCAAGCAUUGCAGAAAACAUUAAAAAAUGGGAUGGUUUCCAUUAUUGGAAUUACAGGCUCCCACCCCUCACACAUCAGAUAGAGCUCUAAUCUCUAGGGUAUAUAAAGAGCUCAACAAAAUAAUCACCCCCCCCAAAAAAAACAAAUAAUCCAAUCAAUAAAUGGGACAAGGACCUGAACAGACACUUCUCAGAAGAAGAUAUACAAUCAAUCAAUAAAUAUACAAAAAAAAUGCUCAUCAUCUCUAGCAAUCAGAGAAAUACAAAUCAAAACUAUUCUAAGAUACCAUCUCACUCCAGUAAGAAUAGCAGCCAUGAUGAAGACAACAACAAGUGUUGGCGAGGAUGCAGGGAAAAAGGUACACUCAUACACUGCUGGUGGGACUGCAAAUUAGUGCAGCCAAUUUGGAAAGCAGUAUGGAGAUUCCUUGGAAAGCUGGAAAUGGAACCACCAUUUGACCCAGCUAUUCCUCUUCUCGGACUAUAUCCAAAGGACCUAAAAACAGCAUUCUACAGGGACACAGCCACAUCAAUGUUUAUAGCAGCACAAUUCACAAUAGCUAAACUGUGGAGCCAACCUAGAUGUCCUUAAGUGGAUGAAUGGAUAAGAAAAAAAAAAUGUGGCAUUUAUACACAAUGGAAUAUUACUCAGCACUAAAAAAAGACAAGAUUAUGCUAAGUGAAGUUAGCCAAUCCCAAAAAACCAAAUGCCGAAUGUUUUCUCUGUUAUAAGGGGGUGACUC
rnacentral:lncRNA from 1 species